rfam:Oryza rufipogon genomic scaffold, chr02
AAUAAGUGCAGUUUUAUACUAUUCAUCUUCAACGUUCGACCGUUCGUCCGUCCCAAAAUAAUUACUAUUUUUAUUACUAUUAGAUGAUAAAACAUGAAUUAUACUUUAUGUAUGACUAAUUUUUUAAAAAUAUUUUAUAAAUUUUUUAAAUAAAACGAACGGUCAAACGUUGGACACGGAUUUCCACGGCUGCACUUAUU